AUACAGAGGGUGCAAGCGUUAAUCGGAAUUACUGGGCGUAAAGCGCGCGUAGGCGGUUUAAUCAGUCGGAUGUGAAAGCCCCGGGCUCAACCUGGGAACUGCAUUCGAUACUGUUAAGCUAGAGUAUGGUAGAGGGAAGUGGAAUUCCAGGUGUAGCGGUGAAAUGCGUAGAUAUCAGGAGGAACAUCAGUGGCGAAGGCGACUUCCUGGACCAAUACUGACGCUCAGGUGCGAAAGCGUGGGGAGCAAACAGGAUUAGAAACCCUAGUAGUCC
rnacentral:rRNA from 1 species